rnacentral:rRNA from 1 species
AUUGAACGCUGGCGGCAUGCCUUACACAUGCAAGUCGAACAGCAGCGCGGACUUCGGUCUGGCGGCGAGUGGCGAACGGGUGAGUAAUACAUCGGAACGUACCCUGUUGUGGGGGAUAACUAGUCGAAAGAUUAGCUAAUACCGCAUACGGCCUGAGGGUGAAAGUGGGGGACCGCAAGGCCUCACGCAGCAGGAGCGGCCGAUGUCUGAUUAGCUAGUUGGUGGGGUAAAGGCCCACCAAGGCGACGAUCAGUAGCUGGUCUGAGGGGACGAUCAGCAACACUGGGACUGAGACACGGCCCAGACUCCUACGGGAGGCAGCAGUGGGGAAUUUUGGACAAUGGGGGCAACCCUGAUCCAGCAAUGCCGCGUGUGUGAAGAAGGCCUUCGGGUUGUAAAGCACUUUUGUCCGGAAAGAAAUCGCGCUGGUUAAUACCUGGCGUGGAUGACGGUACCGGAAGAAUAAGCACCGGCUAACUACGUGCCAGCCGCCGCCGUAA